CCGGGCUCACUGACUGGCUGUCCUGUUCCCCCUCCCCCAGGCAGUACGUCCAUCCUGAGCUGCCGGCCUGCCAAGGCGGACCCCCAGGGCGGGGGCUACCACGAGCCGGAGAAUAGCUCCCCCGGCCGGGGGGCCGAGCCCCACCGCGUCCUGCUCUCGCCCACCCUGCGCUACGCCGGCCUGGAGGCCUUCGCCACCAAAGUGCAAUUCCGGGACCCCAAGUCUCAGCGGCAGCACGGGGCGCAGGUGGCCUUCCAGGUGUGCGUGCGCCCCGGCUCCUACAAGCCGGGCCCCCCCUCGGCCAGCGCCCCUGACCCCCCGGACCCCCGUUUCAGCCCCGCCGAGCUCGAGUGGGUCACCAAGGAGAAGGGGGCCACCGUCCUCUAUGGCCUGCUGGUGCGCGUCGAGUGACCCCCCCGCUCAUAUGGACCAGCAGAGGGUGCCGGAUGCUGGGGGGUGGGGGUCUUCUAGCUGUGUGAACCCCCCCCCCCGAUUCCAGAGGACGACUGUAUUUCUCGGGGGUGUCUUUGCGCCCCCUCUCCAGAUGCCCAGCAGAGGGGCAUGACACCACAAGCAGCUGCCAUUUUUGGGGAGGGGCAUCCCCCCUCCUGUGGUAUAGCCUGGGGGGGCGGGUGGGAGGAGAAUUUGGACAGGAUGCAAAGAGUCUGACACUGUUUUAAACCUGGGGGGGAGGCCCCCCCCCUACACACAGCUCCCUCUGGGGGCCAGAGCUGUCUUUUGCACAUAGAAAAU